rnacentral:rRNA from 1 species
UACGUAGGGUGCAAGCGUUAAUCGGAAUUACUGGGCGUAAAGCGUGCGCAGGCGGUUUUGUAAGUCUGUCGUGAAAUCCCCGGGCUCAACCUGGGAAUUGCGAUGGAGACUGCAAGGCUAGAAUCUGGCAGAGGGGGGGUAGAAUUCCACGCGUAGCAGUGAAAAUGCGUAGAGAUGUGGAGGAACACCGAUGGCGAAGGCAGCCCCCUGGGUCAAGAUUGACGCUCAUGCACGAAAGCUGGGGAGCAAACAGG